rnacentral:misc_RNA from 1 species
AACGCACCUUGCGCUCUUUAGUUAUUCUGAAGAGCAUGCUUGUUUGAGUGUCGCGAACCCCUCAACCCCGCCCAAGGCUUAAUUGACUUGCGGUUGUUUGGGCUUGGAUCAUGGUCUCUUGUCGUUACCUUCGGGUUUGGACUGGACUGAAAUACAACAAGUUGAAUGGUUUCCAUUUGCAGCUUGACCUGAUGUUGUAAACUACUCAUCGGGGAUGCAAUGAAGCUAAGGGAACUUUAACAGAACCCCUAAAUGGUACCUAGUACAUUUAUGACCUCAAAUCAAGUAGGACUACCCGCUGAACUUAA